AAUUAACAAAAUGACACGUAAAACUAUUCAUAGAUCAAUAAAAGUGAAAGUAAAUUAAUGAUUUUUUAAAAGCAAUUUGAUGAUUCCAAAGGAGUCAGUAGAGAGAAAAAGAUGCUUAAUUAGCAUGGUUCAUCCAUCUGGACACAUAUAGGAUGUCUAUAAUAGGUUGGCCAACCUUUUAUUUAUUUAUUUAUUUUUGCUG
rnacentral:lncRNA from 1 species